GUGUGUCUUUGAAGUUCUGCAGUUGCAUUAUAUUGUGGCUUGCUUUGGAUUUGUUACAUUUAAGCUUUAUUUAUCCUUCCUGGAAUUCAUUACAGUUUUUGAACUUCAGGAUUCAAGUGUUUUAAUCAUUGAUGAAAACAUUUCAACCAUUAUCUCUUCAAGUAUUGCCUGUCUUAUUUUCCUCUAUUUCGCAUUCUUGGAAUUAAAUCUGUUGGUUCUCCUUUUCCGUCUUCCAUGUCCCUUAAUCUUCCAUAUUUUCCAGAUCUUUAUAUCUCUGUGCCUAUUGAGUAAUGUCUAAAAUCUGUUUUCCAGUUUAUAAAUUAUCUUGCUAUAUCAAAUCUGCUAUUUAACCUACUCAUUUAAGUUUUCAAUUUCCUUGACAUAUACCUAUGUGAAUGGGUGGGUUUUUACUUAGACUACCUUUUCAUGUAGAAUAUGUAGACUACCUUUUCAUGUAGAACCUAGCUUCUAUGCAAGGUUCUCAAUUCCAAUUUCCUGUCCACUUGGGCCCAGUGCUUACCUCAUGUUUCCACAUGAGCGUGAAAUCACAAGCCCUUGGGUGAACAGAAUCAGUAAUCACUGGUCGGGUGCAGUGGCUCAUGCCUGUAAUCCCAGCACUUUGGGAGGCUGAGGUAGGCGGAUCAUGAGGUCAGGAGUUUGAGACCAGCUUGGCCAACAUGGUGAAAUCCUGUCUCUACUAAAAAUACAAAAAAAAAAAAAAAGUAAAUAAAUAAAAUUAGCUGAGCAUGGUGGCAUGCGCCUGUAAUCCCAGCUACUUGGGAGGCUGAGGCAAGAGAAUUGCUUGAACCCAGCAGGUGGAGAUUGCAAUGAGCCGAGAUCACCCCACUGCACUCCAGCCUGGGUGACAGAGCGAGACUCCAUCUCAAAAAAAUUAAUAAAUAAUAAUAAUAGUCACCCUUCCACCUCCAUAGCACAGCUACGUCAUGAACUGACACCUUAAAACUUUGUUCUGUUUUCAAUUAUCUCUUGGUUUCUGAUGCCUGGGUAUUUCUUUUUCUUUCUUGAGAGCUUAAGCAUGAAUAUAAAACAUUUCAAAUUUUAUAUUUUAUCCAGUAUUUCUAGCUUUUUAAUAGUGAGAUUUAUCUUACUCUCCCAUUUUAUUAAAACAGAAAGUCUUGAGUAACAUUUUAAUACUGAGAAAAAAAGCCUCAUUAUUAGUUUUAGAAAAAGAGAGACAAUCUGUGUUGUUCUGGAACCAAGACAAAGUUCUAGAAGAUUCUCUCUUGAUCCUUAAACAGCAUAGAAAAACCAGGUAAGUUGACUAUGUUCACGUUUAGGAGUAUGAUGGCCAAUGGAUCCAAAACCUAUCCUAUAUCUACAUGUUGGUGGCCACAUUAAUCUGACAUCUGACAGCAAGAGCGAUGAUUGGGUUCACUGGAAAUCUUUGUGAAGUACGAGUGAAGUCCUUGUGAAGUCAGAGUUUCCUCUUCAUGCCUCUACUCCUAUGCAGUUUGACCUCUCAGUGUGCAGCUGGUGAUAGAUGGAAACCCUUGUUCAUAAGCUUUGUGGCACUGUCGGCAGGAUGAGGGGACUUCUGGAUCCUCACUGGUCACUGUGGCAGAGUGGUUGGUGUUGUCUGCUCCCUAGACAGGAACCCACUGAAGAAUCUGACAUUUUUUGAUAUGCUGGCAUUCAUUGUUACAGCCCAUCAUCCCAGCCAUCAAUCCAGGACAUGGGGUCUGUGCCCACGGUGGGAAGGAGGAGGGGGAAGCUGGCUUUGUUCUGACGUUGGGCUUCUUCUGCUCCACCAGUACUUUCUGUGGGGGAAAUAGGUAAAGAAAUGGCUGUUCAGAUGAGAAGAUGUGUCAGUAAACUUUUGCUACAGUGAUGCUGCAAAACAAAUCACUGGUGACUUUCAGUGGCACACAGCAAUAAACAUUUAUUUAGCUCAGGGAUUGACAAUCUUUUUUUUUUUUUAAAGGGCCAAAUAGUAAAUAUUUUAGGUGUUUCAGGCCAUAC
ensembl:lncRNA LINC02615 long intergenic non-protein coding RNA 2615